CCUACGGGUGGCAGCAGUGGGGAAUAUUGGACAAUGGGGGAAACCCUGAUCCAGCGACGCCGCGUGAGUGAAGAAGGAUUUCGGUACGUAAAGCUCUAUCAGCAGGGAAGAAAAUGACGGUACCUGACUAAGAAGCCGCGGCUAACUACGUGCCAGCAGCCGCGGGACUACGUAGGGAGCCAGCGUUAUCCGGAUUUACUGGGGGUAAAGGGAGUGUAGACGGCAGUGCAAGUCUGGAGUGAAACGCCGGGGGCCAACCCCGGAACUGCGGUGGAAACUGGGAGGCUGGAGUGAAGGAGAGGUAAGCGGAAUUCGUGGUGUAGCGGUGAAAUGCGUAGAUAUCGGGAGGAACACCGGCGGCGAAGGCGGCUUGCUGGCUCGUAACUGACGUUGAGGCUCGAAGGCGUGGGGAGCAAACAGGAUUAGAUACCCGUGUAGUC
rnacentral:rRNA from 1 species